rnacentral:tRNA from 2 species
GGUGGGGUCGCAUAGCUUGGUCCAUUGCGGGGGUUUGCUAAAUCCCUGAGCCGCAAGGCUCGCGCAGGUUCAAAUCCUGUCCCCACCGCCA